CUUAUCUAGGUUUGUGGUUGCGAGUUUAUCCAACAGUAUUAGCGUACUCGUUUUUAUAGGCUCUAGUCCAUGGCAGACGAGGUCAAAAGGAUCCACGUAAGCGUGUAUGUGCGCAUAUGCGCGAGCAUGGCUCGUCCUAGGAGUAAGUCAUACCGCUUGUUACACAUAAAAGACAUAGGGUCUUGCAGGCGAGAGAACCAAUAGUAUGAGCGCAUACGUGCGCCGCAGCAACAGUUCCAGUAUGCGAGUGUGGGGUCAAAUACCAGGUCAGCUAGGUAAG
rfam:Atopobium vaginae PB189-T1-4 contig00014, whole genome shotgun sequence.